AUUGAACGCUGGCGGCAGGCCUAACACAUGCAAGUCGAGCGAGCGGCGGAGGGGUGAGUAAUGCCUGGGAAUUGCCCAGUCGAGGGGGAUAACAGUUGGAAACGACUGCUAAUACCGCAUACGACUGGCUUUCCCAGGUGGGGUUGGCUAGUUGGUGAGGUAAUGGCUCACCAAGGCAACGGUCCCUAGCUGGUCGGAGAGGAUGAUCAGCCACACUGGAACUGAGACACGGUCCAGACUCCUACGGGAGGAAGCAGUGGGGAAUAUUGGACAAGGGGGGAAACCCUGAUGCAGCCAUGCCGCGUGUGUGAAGAAGGCCUUCGGGUUGUAAAGCACUUUCAGCGAGGAGGCGUUACUCGCAGAAGAAGCAACGGCUAACUCCGUGCCAGCAGCCGCGGUAAUAC
rnacentral:rRNA from 1 species